GGAGAGAAUGGAGGAAGAGCUGGUUAGCUCGGAAGAGGAUGAGAUGGAUUGGACUCGGGUAAGGGAGGAGUUGGGUGCCACUGGCAAUAAUGGGAUGGAAGAUGAAUGGGGACCUUCAGGAUUAGACCCAUGGACAAGCUGGAGGGAUGGGACGGGAUCCACAGCUGGGGAUGCUGUGGGGCGUAGUCAGAGGUGUUCCAGCUCUGAUGAGGAAAGUGAUGAGGAAACGCCCGGGUUAAGGAGGGCAGCUGAUAGUGAUGAGGAUUUGUAACUGGCAUAAAAUGAGGCUUGGGAGCAAUUGCAAAUUGCGUUGGGCAAGGUAAUCUGGACGAACGCUUGGGAUCUGUGUGGGACGCUUUCCUGAAGACUGGUGUGUUUUCGUGUGCUGAUACCUUUGACCUUCCGUCGUCUUCUUGACGGACGCCAUCUGCUACUCUGGAUUUACGGACUGAAAACUGACUACGGGCUCGCUUUCUCCUAUUGGACUUGGAAAACUGCAAACGUCUGAUUCUGCCUCUCGACCUUCGGAACGAAUUGGGACUACGCUACUGCUUCAAUCCUUGGCUGUUGAGUUUGUAUUGGAAAUUUGCCUUGCUGUGUGAAGGAGUGACUCCUAGUUACUCAAAACAUAGUGCUGGCAGCAGAGAGUUAUCUGCUGCCAAUUAGUUGCAUUCUUUUGAACUCUUUGUUUCCCAGCUUCUGUUUGUUUUUCCCCAGGCUGAAGCAAGCUGUUUUGAUUUUACCCGGAUUAAACUCCGGUUUAAUCCGGUUUAUCUUUUGAACGUUUUUUUCUUGCCCCUUUUUGUUUUUAAAGGCUAAGUUGCCUUGCCCUUGUCUUUUACGGGCAUUUUGAGUUCUGUAAAUCCAAUAAACUCUGUUAUCUUUGA